CCUCCAGCUGUUUUGGGACUACAAUUCCCAUCAUCCCAGACCAUUGAUCCUGUUAGCUAGGGAUGAUGGGAGUUGUAGUCCCAAAACAGCUGGAGG